rnacentral:tRNA from 2 species
GCGGUUGUGGCGAAGUGGUUAACGCACCGGAUUGUGGCUCCGGCACUCGUGGGUUCAAUUCCCAUCAGUCGCC